rnacentral:rRNA from 1 species
CCUACGGGAGACAGCAGUGGGGGAUAUUGGGCAAUGGGCGCAACCCUGAUCCAGCGACGCCGCGUGAGUGAAGAAGGCUCUCGGUAUGUAAAGCUCUGUCAUCAGGGAAGAAGAAAUGACGGUUCCUGCGUAAGAAGCCCCGGCUAACGCCGUGCCAGAAGCAGCGUUAAUACGUAGGGUGCAAGCGUUAUCCGGAAUUACUUGGUGGAAAGGGAGGGUAGAAGGGGAUGUAAGGCCGAAGUGAAAGAUAGGGGCUCAACCCCCGGAGUGCUCUGGAAACGAUGUGACGGGAGUGCAGGCGGGGGGAGCGGAAUUCCUAGUGUAGCGGUGAAAUGCGUAGAUAUUAGGAGGAACACCAGUGGCGAAGGCGGCUUACUGGACUGUAACUGACGCUGAGGCUCGAAAGCGUGGGGAGCAAACAGGAUUAGAUACCCUGGUAGUC